UACGGAGGGUGCAAGCGUUGUUCGGAAUUAUUGGGCGUAAAGGGCGCGUAGGUGGUUGUGAUAGUCAGAUGUGAAAUCCUUUGGCUUAACUGAAGAACUGCAUCUGAAACUUCACAACUCGAGUACAGGAGAGGGAAACGGAAUUCCCGGUGUAGAGGUGAAAUUCGUAGAUAUCGGGAGGAACACCAGUGGCGAAGGCGGUUUCCUGGCCUGAUACUGACACUGAGGCGCGAAAGCGUGGGGAGCAAACAGGAUUAGAUACCCUGGUAGUCCACGCGGUAAACGGUGAACACUAGGUGUGGGAGGUGUAAUACCUUCUGUGCCGAAGCUAACGCGUUAAGUGUUCCGCCUGGGAAGUACGGCCGCAAGGUUGAA
rnacentral:rRNA from 1 species